CGCCUCUUGCUAACAAAGGAAGUACUAGAGGUCCCGCCUGCCCUGUGACCACAAAGUUUAACGGCCGCGGUAUCCUGACCGUGCGAAGGUAGCGUAAUCAUUUGUCUUUUAAAUAGAGACCUGUAUGAAUGGCAUAACGAGGGUUUAACUGUCUCCUUCCCCUAGUCAAUGAAAUUGAUCUGCCCGUGCAGAAGCGGACAUAAAUACAUAAGACGAGAAGACCCUAUGGAGCUUUAGACAAAAGAUCAAACAUGUAAAGAAACCAAACCAACCAAAAGGAACACGAAGGCCACAAAACCCAACGUAAACUGAUCUAAAUGUCUUCGGUUGGGGCGACCAUGGGGGAAAGAAAAGCCCCCACGAGGAACAGGGACAACCCCUAAACUAAGAGAGACACCUCUAAGCAACAGAAAAUCUGACCAAAAUGACCCAGGAUACUAAUCCUGAUCAACGAACCAAGUUACCCUAGGGAUAACAGCGCAAUCCUUUCCCAGAGUCCAUAUCGACGAAAGGGUUUACGACCUCGAUGUUGGAUCAGGACAUCCUAAUGGUGCAGCCGC
rnacentral:rRNA from 1 species